rnacentral:rRNA from 1 species
UACGAAGGGCUCGACUGUUAUUCGUUUUGAUUGGGUGUAAAGGGUGAGUAGGCGGUUAAUCGAAAAACUUUGAGUUAAAGCGCGAAGUGUUCCUUCGCGAGCGCUCGAUUUAUAGGAUUUGACUAGUGUUGAUAAGGGGUUUAGGCAAUUUCGUACGUAGGAGUAAAAUCCAUCGAUGUACGAACGAACGCCAGCUGGCAA